UAAAAGAACUCGUAAGUGCAUGUCUGAAAGAGGAGGAGGCUGAAAAGAGAGAUUGCAAAUUUAAAAAACCAAAAGUGUCGUUCGUGACCAGAUCAGUUGACUGUUUGGCCUCGACUUCAGUAGAAGAUGAUGUAGCAAGUGUAAAAACUGAUUGUGUUAAAUGUCAUUGUGCAGAUGAAUCAGAUGAUGAUACCAGGUCUGACAAAAAAAAAGACAUCAGACAGCGAAGUUUAUCAGAACCACGACAAACUCGAAAGAAA